UACGGAGGAUGCGAGCGUUAUCCGGAUUUAUUGGGUUUAAAGGGUGCGUAGGCGGAGUGUCAAGUCAGCGGUAAAAUUUCGGGGCUCAACCCCGUCGUGCCGUUGAAACUGCUUCCCUUGAGUAUCGGAGAGGUAACCGGAAUUCCUAGUGUAGCGGUGAAAUGCGUAGAUAUUAGGAAGAACACCAGUGGCGAAGGCGGGUUACUGGACGACAACUGACGGUGAGGCGCGAAAGCGUGGGGAGCAAACAGG
rnacentral:rRNA from 1 species